UUUUUGCUCUCCUAUUUAAAGUCGUCUCUCACCUUAGUUAUUCCCCUAAAAAAAACGACAAACCCUAGCCGUCAUUCAUCAUAAAUAAAAAAUGCACUGAAUUCAUUCGUCAAAGUUAUCUUCUUUAACUCUGAAAUUUGCAUCGAUUGGAGAACCGUCUUAUCUCAGACUUAUCCCUCUUCAAUCCCAAAGCUUCGAAAUCGAAAUUGACCCGUCGACUGCUCGUGUUUCGGAGUCUACACAGGAUUAGCUGUUUGCCAAGAUUCACGUGGAUAAGCAAGCAGUGAGUUUGUAGUGCUAUUUACCGCUUUAUUAAGUACCGCAUUUUAUUUUAGUAUUAUAAAUGCUUUUAAACUGUUUUAAGCGAUUAUGGAUCUGGAUUGGAACGAGCUACUCGAUAGGCUUGUAUCGAGACUGUGUGCACCGGUAAGUACUCUGGGAAUCGGCAGACUAAAGUCUUGCUUACGCUGGUAUAUAAUUUGACGAGGAUUUGUUCCCGUCCACUCUGGGUUUAUUUUUCGGUAUGAUAUGUCAUACUCACGCUGGGAUCAUUUCAAUACUGUAUUUCCAUAAUCAUACUAUAUUAGUAUAAAAGGUUUUGAUUUAAGGGUUUUAAACUUAAUAAAUGUAAAUAGUAUUGCGAACUCAUCUCAGUAUAUCUGACCCCGUUGUUUUCCCAAUU